AGGGUAUGAGGAGAAAGACAGGUAUUAGGUUGAUUUCUUUGUCGCUGGGGUGGGUUCUACGCACAUAAGUUCACGAAAUUGUCUUUGUGCAUGCAGGUGUAUGUAUAAACCACAUGUAUGUAUGCAUGCGUAUGUGAAAAUUUAUGGGCAGUACAGAAAGUGGGAAGGGUGAUAUUGUUCUGUUAGUUCUCUAGUUUUGGGAUGUUGGGAAGUUGUCAUUAAUGCAGCAUGGAUUGGAUAAAAUAAAAUCAUUUUUCUUCUAAUCAUGAAUGAAUGGCUUAUGUUAUAUUAAGGGAUGAAACUACUCCUGAUCCACAAUCAAUUAUUUUUUGGGGAGGAGAGGGGUAAUUUAUAGCUGGAACAAGAAACCAGAUUUGUUUCUCUUAUUGUGUAUUGGUGUUGGGAUCUCUAAUACUUUUGUUUGCUUACUUAGAUUAGAUGUGAAAUGCUCAUCCAUUUUGCAGGGUUACUAUGUUUUCAGCCAGAAGUUGAAGCAUGUUGUUCGCCUUCCAUUUGCCACCACUGCAUAUGGUUUCAUUUUCUCAACUAUGAUGGCGGUGGUUGCAGGUAUGACCGGUAAAAAACAAGGGUAGUAUGGAUAUUAGGAGUAAGCAAUGAUUUGUCUUAUCCUGCCUCCAUUCCCCUUCCCCUCUUACUCUGAUUAGAGAUUGGAAUAAGAUUUUUUUAUCAUGUGAGAACAAAGAAUUAUUGUUGCUACUGGUUAUUCACCUUUAUUUUUGCUUGUGGAUUUUAAUGCUGUUAACACAUGUGGUUUCUCAUGCUAU